UACGUAGGGGGCAAGCGUUGUCCGGAUUUACUGGGCGUAAAGAGCGUGUAGGCGGCCACGCAGGUCCGUUGUGAAAACUGGAGGCUCAACCUCCAGCUGUCGACGGAAACCGUAUGGCUAGAGUCCGGAAGAGGAGAGUGGAAUUCCUGGUGUAGCGGUGAAAUGCGCAGAUAUCAGGAAGAACACCAAUGGCGAAGGCAGCUCUCUGGGACGGUACUGACGCUGAGACGCGAAAGCGUGGGGAGCGAGCAGG
rnacentral:rRNA from 1 species